UGUUUCCUUGUCUUCUCUUGAUUCCUAUUGUGCAUAUUCUUGAUUCUCUUCUGGAAACAUGGCAGCGCGUAUGAGUGUGUUACUGACAUGAGUUGGCUUCAAGUUUAGGUGGAAAUAUGAUUUGCUCUGGUAUUCAGGCACUGAGUUUGACUGACUUACUUUUUGUAACUUUGUGCUUGCAAGAGAUCUGGAAGGCUACACAAGCAAUUUGUUUUCUUUGUGUUUUUUUCUCUUGGCAUGAGUAGAUCAAGGAAAUAAAUAGCUUAUGGUUUCUUCUCAUGUCAACCACAUUGACAAUUGAGUGUUUGGAGAACAUUUCUUCACAAUUCACAUGUAGUCGCCAGAACCUCCUAUCGGGUUAUAGAAUCCUCAAAAUCUCGCUCCUGCACAAGUAAAACCCUCCUAGGAUCUUGGCUUCCAUCGAGAAAGGAACUCAUUCUCAACUAGGAUAGAACUUCUUGGGCAUAAAAAUCCCAAAAGAAACAAUAGUAAAAGAUACCAAGCAAGAGAAAAUCUUAAGUAAUGAUAAGAUACUUGAAAAAUAUAAACUCCAAUUUCAUCAAGUACUUUGUAGAAGCAUAAUAUUUACUCAUUCGCUAAAAUAAUAUUUGCAGUUGACACGUAUUACGAACAUACUUUCUUGUAUCACACAUGUAUUUGUAUGGAUAAUUCCAGCAAUCCCGAAUGAGGAGCUUUUAUGAUCCUCUGCUCCAGUGGUUCCUCCCCUGAUCCCUCCCCCGACCCCAAUUCUCACAACUAAGGCAAAUACUCGUAUAGAUUGACAAAACAAAUUAUAGUUCCUUUUUUUUUUUUUUUGCUAAGCUAAACACCAA